UGGGAAUUACAGUGCUGCUUUAGAGCUGGUGUUAUCUCCCUUCCUGGAGGGAGGGGAGAUGGGCUUACCCUAAAUGCUCCAUUAGCUGCACAUCACUCCUGCCGCAUUGAUUUUUCAAGGUAAAUGCCUUGUUCUGAAUUCUGAUCUCAUUCCCUUGAGCGUCUCCUCUUUAGGAGGAAUUAGUGUGGCCGGGAGAGGAAUCCUGGUGCCUUCAGAGCUUAUAUCAGACUGUAGCAUUGCUGACUGAGAGGCAGCCCCGAAAGGAGCAUGGAGAAAGAAAGAAAGGCUGAGCUGUGUGUCUUGUGUCCCUGCUCUCUGCACCGCCUGAGCAGCGUGGCCCCUCGGAGCAGAGAGUGAUGCCCUGAGCACAUCCCCAGGAAAGUGGUUCGGGAAGGGGACGGGCUGCUGCAGCGGAGAAGUGACUGCAUUCGGGAAGGUGCCUGCUCAUUGCAGUGGAAAUCUGCCCAAGCUGGCCCUGCUGCUCCAGACCUUGCUAGAACCCACAGAGAAAACACCCGCGCGCUCUGCCCACCAGCGCUGAGCCCGGCAGGGAUGCACGCCGCCUGCUGCCAACAUCCCUGGGAUGAGGCAGUUCUUCAUCCCUGGCGUCCCCCUCUUCAUCCCUCCCCAAAAGGCUGAGCGUCAGUGAAAGCCCCAGCGAGCCAGGGAGUCCGGAAGAGAAACCUGAGCCUCACCGCAGCCCCCGAUCCUUAUUUCGUCCUUUCCUACCCUGCAGCAGCCGCGCUCCUCAGUCCUCCUUCACCCAAUAGUGCCGCAGCAAAGACCUAGGGAGCAGCUUGCAGCCGGUACCCUUGGAUACCGAGAGGCCGCCUGAGUCCUGACUGUGGGGAGAGAAAGACCAUGGGGAGUGGAAUGAGCAAGGUGGUUAAAGGCCUCUAUCUCGGGAACAUCCGGG